ACUAUUUUGUCAUGCGAUAUGAACUACUAAGUUGAAGAUCAAGGUGGAAUUCGCUGAUAUUAUUCUGGUGAUAUAUUAUAUUCGGAAGGAUAUCCUUAUUUAAACCAGAGCUAUAGCAAGGCUCGUCAUGCAAAGGAAAAGAUAUUUCAGAGGUUGUAUGGAACCUAUGAGGAGGCGUACUCUUUUGCCCCUAGAAUGUUGCAUC